rnacentral:rRNA from 1 species
AGGCCUAACACAUGCAAGUCGAGCGGCCCGUAGCAAUACGGCAGCGGCAGACGGGAGAGUAACACGUGGGAACGCGCCCUUCGGUCCGGGAUAACCCAGGGAAACUUGGGCUAAUACCGGAUACGCCCUUACGGGGAAAGAUUUAUUGCCGAAGGAACGGCCCGCGUCCGAUUAGCUAGUUGGUGAGGUAACGGCUCACCAAGGCGACGAUCGGUAGCUGGUCUGAGAGGAUGACCAGCCUCACUGGGACUGAGACACGGCCCAGACUCCUACGGGAGGCAGCAGUGGGGAAUAUUGGACAAUGGGCGCAAGCCUGAUCCAGCCAUGCCGCGUGGGUGAUGAAGGCCCUAGGGUUGUAAAGCCCUUUCAGCGGGGAAGAUAAUGACGGUACCCGCAGAAGAAGCCCCGGCUAACUUCGUGCCAGCAGCCGCGGUAAUACGAAGGGGGCUAGCGUUGCUCGGAAUUACUGGGCGUAAAGCGCACGUAGGCGGCUUUCUAAGUCGGGGGUGAAAUCCUGGAGCUCAACUCCAGAACUGCCUUCGAUACUGGAAAGCUCGAGUCCGGGAGAGGUGAGUGGAACUGCGAGUGUAGAGGUGAAAUUCGUAGAUAUUCGCAAGAACACCAGUGGCG